AUUGAACGCUGGCGGCAUGCUUUACACAUGCAAGUCGAACGGUAACAGGCCGCAAGGUGCUGACGAGUGGCGAACGGGUGAGUAAUGCAUUGGAACGUGCCCAGUCGUGGGGGAUAACGCAGCGAAAGCUGCGCUAAUACCGCAUACGAUCUAUGGAUGAAAGCGGGGGACCGUAAUGCCUCGCGCGAUUGGAGCGGCCGAUGUCAGAUUAGGUAGUUGGGGGGGUAAAGGCCUACCAAGCCAACGAUCUGUAGCUGGUCUGAGAGGACGACCAGCCACACUGGGACUGGGACACGGCCCAGACUCCUACGGGGGGCAGCAGUGGGGAAUUGUGGACAAUGGGCGCAAGCCUGAUCCAGCAAUGCCGCGUGCAGGAAGAAGGCCUUCGGGUUGUAAACUGCUUUUGUACGGAACGAAAAGGCUCUGGUUAAUACCUGGGGCUCAUGACGGUACCGUAAGAAUAAGCACCGGCUAACUACGUGCCAGCAGCCGCCGCGGUAA
rnacentral:rRNA from 1 species